UCAGCUGGUGGCGCCACUUCCCUUCGCGGGCGGUGUGAUCACGCAUAGCUGUCAACAGACCAUGCAGAUACCCGAAGCCCGCUGAUUGCGGGCUUUUUUG
rnacentral:sRNA from 1 species